UGAAAAAGUGGUUGAUAAAGGUGAAGGAGGAAGUGAAGCACUAGACGUCGAUGGGGGAGGAGGUUGGGUGUUAGAUGUUGAUGGGGGCGGUGGAGAUGGAGGAGGUGGGGCACUAGUCGUCAAAGUGGUUGGUGAAGGAGGAGGUGGGGUGCUAGAUAUUGAUGGGGGUGGUGGAGAUGGAGGAGGUGGAGGGAGUAGGGCACUAGUCAUCAAAGUAUUUGGUGAAGGUGAAGGAGGAAUUGAAGCACUAGACAUCGAUGAGGGAGGAGGUGGGGUGCUAGAUAUUGAUGGGGGUGGUGGAGAUGGAGGAGGUGGGGUACUAGUCAUCGAAGUGGUUGGUGAAGGAGGAGGUGGGGUGCUAGAUAUUGACGAGGGUGGUGGAGAUGGAGGAGGUAGGGCACUAGUUGUCAAAGUGGUUGGUGAAGGAGAACGAGGAAUUGAAGCACUAGACAUCGAUGAGGGAAGAGGUUGGAUGCUAGAUAUUGAUAGGGGUGAUGGAGACAAAAGAGGUGGGGCACUAGUUGUUGCAGAGGGUGGUGAAGAUGGAGGAGGAAGUGGGGCAGUAGACAUCAAUGUGGGAGGUGGAGAUGGUAGUGAAGGUGAAGGAGGUGGGGC
rnacentral:lncRNA from 1 species